GAUGAACGCUAGCUACAGGCUUAACACAUGCAAGUCGCGGGGCAGCAUGGGGGUUGCUUGCAACCCCUGAUGGCGACCGGCGCACGGGUGAGUAACGCGUAUCCAACCUGCCCUUCACCACGGGAUAACCCGGCGAAAGUCGGACUAAUACCGUAUGUUGUCCAUUGACGGCAUCCGAUUUGGACGAAAGGCUUGGCGGUGGAAGGAUGGGGGUGCGUCCGAUUAGCUUGACGGCGGGGUAACGGCCCAGCGGGGCUUCGAUCGGUAGGGGUUCUGAGAGGAAGGUCCCCCACACUGGAACUGAGACACGGGCCAGACUCCUACGGGAGGCAGCAGUGAGGAAUAUUGGGCAAUGGGCGUAAGCCUGAACCAGCCAAGUAGCGUGCAGGAUGACGGCCCUAUGGGUUGUAAACUGCUUUUAUGCGGGGAUAAAGUGGCCCACGUGUGGGCUUUUGCAGGUACCGCAUGAAUAAGGACCGGCUAAUUCCGUG
rnacentral:rRNA from 1 species